ACUUGAAUUGAAGAGUUUGAUCAUGGCUCAGAUUGAACGCUGGCGGCAGGCUUAACACAUGCAAGUCGAACGGUAGCAGGAGAAAGCUUGCUUUCUUGCUGACGAGUGGCGGACGGGUGAGUAAUGCUUGGGAAUCUGGCUUAUGGAGGGGGAUAACUACGGGAAACUGUAGCUAAUACCGCGUAGUGUCGAGAGACGAAAGUGCGGGACCGCAAGGCCGCAUGCCAUGAGAUGAGCCCAAGUGGGAUUAGGUAGUUGGUGGGGUAAAGGCCUACCAAGCCUGCGAUCUCUAGCUGGUCUGAGAGGAUGGCCAGCCACACUGGAACUGAGACACGGUCCAGACUCCUACGGGAGGCAGCAGUGGGGAAUAUUGCGCAAUGGGGGGAACCCUGACGCAGCCAUGCCGCGUGAAUGAAGAAGGCCUUCGGGUUGUAAAGUUCUUUCGGUAUUGAGGAAGGAGUGUAUGUUAAUAGCAUACAUUAUUGACGUUAAA
rnacentral:rRNA from 1 species